rnacentral:rRNA from 1 species
AUACGGAGGGUGCAAGCGUUAAUCGGAAUUACUGGGCGUAAAGCGCGCGUAGGCGGUUCGAUAAGUCUGAUGUGAAAGCCCUGGGCUUAACCUGGGAAUGGCAUUGGAUACUGUUGAACUAGAGUGCAGGAGAGGAGAGUGGAAUUCUCGGUGUAGCGGUGAAAUGCGUAGAUAUCGGGAGGAACACCAGUGGCGAAGGCGGCUCUCUGGACUGACACUGACGCUGAGGUGCGAAAGCGCGGGUAGCAAACAGGAUUAGAAACCCCUGUAGUCC